rnacentral:tmRNA from 1 species
GGGGGCGAUAUGGGCUCGACGGGGGUGUCGAGGUCUAGGCUGGCGUGCCGGGGUCCUGCCACCUCGUUAAAAAGGCAGGGAAAAAAUAAGUGCCGACUACGACUACGCUCUGGCUGCCUAAGAAUUAAGGCAGCCCGUCUAUCCGGGGAGAGCCCGCGUCCCCGGAUAUGACGUCGGUUAGCGGGCUGGCCAAAAGGGGAGCCUGCCCCCUUUUGGUGAGAGUCUCGCAGGCUAGGUGGUUGGUCGGCCCGCCUGGGGGAGGCCAUCCACUGAAGUUUAAACCCAGGCUACGCACGUAGAGGCCUAGGCUGAAGCACUCUCGGACGGGGGUUCGAUUCCCCCCGCCUCCACCA